rnacentral:rRNA from 1 species
UACGUAGGGGGCGAGCGUUGUCCGGAUUUAUUGGGCGUAAAGAGCGUGUAGGCGGCUUUGCAGGUCCGCUGUGAAAACUCGAGGCUCAACCUCGAGCUGUCGGUGGAAACCGUAAAGCUAGAGUCCGGAAGAGGAGAGUGGAAUUCCCGGUGUAGCGGUGAAAUGCGCAGAUAUCGGGAAGAACACCCGUGGCGAAGGCGGCUCUCUGGGACGGUACUGACGCUGAGACGCGAAAGCGUGGGGAG